GACGAACGCUGGCGGCGUGCUUAACACAUGCAAGUCGAACGGAAAGGCCCUGCUUUUGUGGGGUGCUCGAGUGGCGAACGGGUGAGUAACCCGUGAGUAACCUGCCCUUGACUUUGGGAUAACUUCAGGAAACUGAGGCUAAUACCGGAUAGGAGCUACCGCUGCAUGGUGGGGGCUGGUAAGUUUCGGCGGUUGGGGAUGGACUCGCGGAUUAUCAGGUUGUUGGUGGGGUAGUGUCUUACCAAGGCUUUGACGGGUAGCCGGCCUGGGAGGGUGACCGGACAAACUGGGACGGGAAUACGGCCCGGACUCCUACGGGAGGCAGCAGUGGAGAAGAGUGCACAAUGGGCGGAAGCCUAAUGCAGCAACGCCGCGUGCGGGAUGACGGCCUUCGGGUUGGAAACCGCUUUCGCCUGUGACGAAGCGUGAGUGACGGUAAUGGGUAAAGAAGCACCGGCUAACUACGUG
rnacentral:rRNA from 1 species